AUGGCGGCGGCGCUGCCGCCGGCCAAGUGCCGGGGGCAUGGAGAGAGGUUGGAUGCUGGUGAGUUGGGUGGCCAUUCCUUCGUGGACUGGAGCAUCUUCAAGCGGAGGGGGAGGGAGAUCCUUCGACGGGCGCAAGAUCGUGAGCUGUGUUUGCGGCGGAUGAAGGCCAAAGCAGAUGCUUUCUUCAAUUCGUCUCCAACUCAAGAGAAAAUCAAAGGAGGAGGGGAGGGGAUUGCUCCAACGACUUCAUUGGGAGGGGAAUCCGGCCUUGAUCCCGCCUUCAGAGAUGUAAAUCGGGGGAAUAAAGGUCAGUUUUGCCCGUCGGUUUCCCUUGGUAUUACUUCAGAUUUGAAGAUUAAUGGAAACGGACAGCAAGGUAUGAGUAAUUGGGAUGAUAAUUUUGGUGAUUUGGAUGCGGAAUUUGGGGAAGACAAACUGUAUUUCAGGAGAGGGAUCAAAGGGACUUUUCACAAACCUGUUCUUGCCGCUGUUCGCCCGCUCUCUGUUUCUGUCUCUGUGUUUCAGGAACCUAUGGGUGACCAAGGAGGGAAAAGUAUGGAGGUGAACGGCAUUGGGGCCGGUCAGGAGACUCGUCUAGACUCGCCGUCUCCGGCUGCGGGUCUCCCUGUUGCGGGUGCCUCCGAUCAUGCUGGCCAUGGGGUGACAGUCUCGCCUCCUUCAGUCCCUGAUGUUCAGGGAGCGCGGGCGGCUCCUGCUAUGUUCCAAGGGACGGCGGUGGUGGGAGGGCCGUGGGGCUUGGUCCUCUCCGUCAUGCCUUCGGCCUCCGUUGGCUUUGCAUCAGCGGCGGCGGAUCCUCCAUUGCUUCGGAGGGCAGGCAAGAGCAAGAUGUUCGUGGGUCAAAGAACUGGCCACCGUCCGAUCGUCAUCAACAUGGAAGCUGCCCUGCGUGCGGUGGCGGGGAAACUCCGGUGGCUCGUGUGCUGUCGCCGUACCCGAUCGACCCCAAGGCAGUCGUCGGCGACCUCCGUGGCCCAUGGAAGUUGCGUGGCAGUGCAGUGGCUCAGAGGGUCGAUUGCAAGGACGGCCGGUUCGUCAUCACUUUCUCGGAUGAGGGAGACCUAA
rnacentral:rRNA from 1 species